UACAGAGGUCCCAAGCGUUGUUCGGAUUCACUGGGCGUAAAGGGUGCGUAGGUGGCCAGGUAAGUUCGGUGUGAAAGCUCGGAGCUUAACUCCGAAAUGGCAUUGAAUACUAUCUGGCUAGAGGGUCGGAGGGGAGACUGGGAAUUCUCGGUGUAGCAGUGAAAUGCGUAGAUAUCGAGAGGAACACCAGUGGCGAAGGCGAGUCUCUGGACGACACCUGACACUGAGGCACGAAAGCCAGGGGAGCAAACAGG
rnacentral:rRNA from 1 species